GGCCAGUCCCGGGAGCGGGGACGCGGAAACCGGGGAGCCGGGGCCGGGGCGCGGCGGCCCCUGAAGGGCCGAGGCCUGCGCGGCCGCGGGCGGCUCUUCUCGACCCCUCGGCCUCUUCGGCCGCGGCGCGCCGGCCUGGGCCGCCGCCUUUGUUGCCCGCAGCUCGCCGGGGAGAGGCCGGGCGGGACUCAGUCUUCCGGUAGCAAAAUAAAUAAUGUUGAAUUCAUUUCAACAAAUGUUUCUGCAACGUCUGC
rnacentral:lncRNA from 1 species